GUGAAAUGAUGAUUUGGUUUAUCCAUUCGCUGAGUGCCUGCACUGACCUUCCUAGCUUCAGUUCCUGUUCUAGGAACUUGGGGCUUUGUAGCCUCCAAAUGCCCUGCGGUCUGCGGUGUUCUACCACGGACAGUUGUGGAUUGGUGGACUACCGGUAGGAAUGGUUGGUGUCAGCAGGGUUGGGUCCCUCUGGGUCCCAUCUCACCAAGAUGAGUGGUGGAAAUCUGAUCAC